rfam:Myotis lucifugus cont2.16031, whole genome shotgun sequence.
GGCAGUUCUCAGGUGACACACCCCAGAAUCAGGCUCCCUCCUCUCUGGUUCAGGGUGUGUCACCAAAGAACUGCC